AUAAGAAAGCUCAGAAAGAAAUACAUAUUUGUUUAUUUUGUUGGCACAAAACUACUUCCAUAAAUCAGUUUAUUUUUUUAUUUUUACAACUGGCACCGGGUUACCUUCAGAUGAGUCCCGUGACAUUUGUGGGGGUCGUAGAGAGAAACGGAGACCACCAUCUUGUUCGUGAGAGUCUCCCCUUUCCAUAGUGGGGUCACAAAGGAUUCGGAAACUACAGACGAUUUUCGGGAUGUCUCCUGAGCUGACGAACAGCGUUGUAGCUCUGCCACUUUCACCACAAGACGUGGAAGGGAGACGUCGGCGGAUGUGGUGGAUUGAGACGCAGCCCAAAAAUAUGUCUCUAGAUUAAACAGAAGAUUUUGAUAGGGACUUUUCAAAAAAUUAUGUUAAUUAGAUUGCCACACGGGUACGUCUCUAAAGGACUAGUCGGAUUAGCCUCCUACAAUGUGGAAGAAAGACGUAUUGUCAGCUUGUUUGUUUACUCUCCUUGUUUGUUUUACUGUGUUUGUUUAUCUGUAAACGUGUUUGUUUACCUCCCAGCAAGCCAAUGAAAACCAAGCCAGGAGAGAUAGGAGCUGCUUUGAGAGCCUGACCUUAUGGGACCUGAAGAGCCACAACCACAAUCCUUCUCUGUGGGUAGUUAAAGACAGAGAAGAAGAUGUGGAAUACCAGGAGAGAAGCGAGAGUGAGGAAGGAGAUGAAGAGGAAGAGUAUGUAUGUGUGAUAAUAGAAGGGUCAGAGGUUGAGGAAGAUGAGGAGGAAGAGGAAGAGGAGGAGGAAUACGAGGUGACAUGUGUAGGGGAGUAUGAGGAGGAAGAGGAGUGUUUGUUAGAGGUUGUGGUGAAAGAGGAGGAAGAGGAGUGUUUGUUAGAGGUUGUGGUGAAAGAGGAGGGAGUAGAGGAGGACGAAGAAGAAAGAGUGGAGAGGUAUGAGAAGGAGAAGAAAGAGAAGGAAGAGGAAGAAGAGAAGGGAGAAGAAGAAGAAGAAGAGGAGGAGGAGACAGCCAACACAUAUCCCAGGUGUGUCCAUCAUCAGGGCCUGAAACUGAGUGUGAAGGGGCUGAGAGGGAGACAGACAGGAGAGGAGAAGUACGGUCGGCUCAGAGAGAUCCUAGGAGACCAGUAUGUCAGGGAGGUUACCUGUGCCCCUGAAGGAGAUAGAGUGGUCCUCCACCUCUAUCACCCUAGGUGAGAGAGUUAGUUUGGACCUGAGCUGGUCUGGAGUCACUUACUGUAUAAGGAGAGACAUAGACAUCUAUUAUGAUUCAACUCACAGAACUGGCCUAGGAUCAGUUUAUACAACGCUAGUCAUGAUGACUAUUAAAGCUUCAGCUCAUACCGCUAUCUUAAAUAUCUUUAGGGUCAGUUUGAUGCUAAAGUAAACUCUCUCUCUCUCUCUCUGUCUCUCUCUCUCUCAUUCUCUUUCUCUCACCCCUCUCUCCCUCAUUAUCCCCAUUGCUCUCUCUCUUUCUCUCUCUCUCUGUCUCUUUCUCUCACCCUCCUUCUCCCAUUUGCUCUCUCUCUGUCUCUCCUUUUCUCUCUUUCUCUCCCCCUCUCUCUCUGUUUCAAUCUCUCUCUCUCUCCACCUCCCUACCUCCUUCUCCCUGAGACAUAGAAUCUAUCCUAUGAUGUUGAACUGGAGCAGACUGAGACAUAGAAUCUAUCCUAUGAUGUUGAACUGGAGCAGACUGAGACAUAGAAUCUAUCCUAUGAUCCUAUGAUAAUCUAUCCUAUCUCCCCCCC
ensembl:lncRNA